GAAAGGUAGAUAGAUCCCAAGGAAGUUUUGGGGUAUAGGUGGGUAGGAUAGAGAUCAAAGACUUGUUCUUUCCCUGAACAGUUUCUCUUCCCUAUUCCACCUAUUCCCCAUGAGAUCCUUUGGUUCCUCCCUUUC
rnacentral:pre_miRNA from 1 species